GACGGAGGAUGCAAGUGUUAUCCGGAAUCACUGGGCGGUAAAGCGUCUGUAGGUGGUUUAAAAAGUCCACUGUUAAAAAUUGAAGCUUAACUUCAAAGAUGCCGUGGAAACUUUUAAACUUGAGUAUGGUAGGGGUAGAGGGAAUUUCCAGUGGAGCGGUGAAAUUGCGUAGAUAUUGGAAAGACCACCAAUGGCGAAGGCAACUCUACUGGGCCAUUACUGACACUGAGAGACGAAAGCUAGGGGAGCAAAUGGG
rnacentral:rRNA from 1 species